UACAGAGGGCUCAAGCGUUGUUCGGAUUUAUUGGGCGUAAAGGGUGCGUAGGCGGCGCGGUAAGUCGGGUGUGAAAUCUUGGAGCUUAACUCCGAAACUGCAUUUGAUACUGCCGUGCUUGAGGACUGGAGAGGAGACUGGAAUUUACGGUGUAGCGGUGAAAUGCGUAGAUAUCGUAAGGAAGACCAGUGGCGAAGGCGGGUCUCUGGACAGUACCUGACGCUGAGGCACGAAAGCCAGGGGAGCAAACGGG
rnacentral:rRNA from 1 species